UACGAAGGGGGCUAGCGUUGUUCGGAAUUACUGGGCGUAAAGCGCACGUAGGCGGAUAUUUAAGUUAGGGGUGAAAUCCCAGGGCUCAACCCUGGAACUGCCUUUAAUACUGGGUAUCUCGAGUCCGAGAGAGGUGAGUGGAAUUCCGAGUGUAGAGGUGAAAUUCGUAGAUAUUCGGAGGAACACCAGUGGCGAAGGCGGCUCACUGGCUCGGUACUGACGCUGAGGUGCGAAAGCGUGGGGAG
rnacentral:rRNA from 1 species